UUGAAAGCGUUUAAGGGCAUCUGGUGGAUGCCUUGGCGCCAGGAGGCGAUGAAGGACGCGGUGGGCAGCGAAAUUCUCCGGCGAGCCGCCAAACAGGCUUUGACCCGGAGGUGUCCGAAUGGGGCAACCCGGCGGGAGUCAUAUCCCGUCAUCCUUUGACUGAAUUCAUAGGUCUUAGGAAGCGAACUCAGGGAAGUGAAACAUCUCAGUACCUGAAGGAGAGGAAAUCAACCGAGAUUCCCGAAGUAGCGGCGAGCGAAACGGGAUCAGCCCAAACCGAGUGCUUUCGAGCAUUCGGGGUUGUAGGGCCUACGCAUAUUGAUCCGCGAUUAGAGAGCAGAGCAGGUUGGGAAACCUGGCCAUAGAAGGUGAAAGCCCUGUAUGUGGUAUCGAAAGCGGCAAUGUAGGUUCCUGAGUACCGCGAGGCACGUGAAACCUCGUGGGAAUCCGGGAGGACCAUCUUCCAAGGCUAAAUACUCCCUGGCGACCGAUAGUGUACCAGUACCGUGAGGGAAAGGUGAAAAGAACCCCUGUUAGGGGAGUGAAAUAGAACCUGAAACCGGGUGCCUACAAGCAGUGGGAGCGGACUUGUUCCGUGACCGCAUGCCUUUUGCAUAAUGAGUCAGCGAGUUACUCUGUAGUGCGAGGUUAAGUCUAAAAAAGACGGAGCCGAAGCGAAAGCGAGUCUGAAUAGGGCGCAUAGUACUG
rnacentral:rRNA from 1 species